AAAAAACAUUUAACAACAUGAAACUUAAACAACAUUUUUAAAAACAUUUAACAACAUAAAACUUAAAAGCCUAGCCGUUAGAUUUGAAUUUAAAUUGUAGUUUUUAAAUAAUAAAUUAUGUUUGGCCCUAUGGCCCUUUGGCCCUCGGUUGGAGACGGUUUUUUGUGAAAGGGCUAAAACGAGCCAUUUGGCCCUCUGGCCCUCGGUUGGAGACGGAGGCAAAUAUGGCCCUGUACUGUUCAUUAAAAUAUUAAUAUCUUGAGGAAUCUUGGAGGGCCAGAGGGCUCAAACGAGCCCUCUGGCCAGCCUUCGGUUGGAGAUGGCCUUAGUACUACAACUUAGUAAUUUUUUUUUUUAAUUUUUAAGUAAAAGAUUUUAAAUUCGAUUAUCGCCAAAAACGAUUUAAACCAUAUUAUUGCUUUCCCAUGUAUCAUUUUGAAAUCGAUUUUAAAAAACUUUUAUAAGUGGGAAAGUGUUGUCUUAAGACAUUCCAUAAAAAUUCCCACGUUUCCCAUUCAUUACCAAUAUGAAGUGCUGCCUAAAAAACAAUCCGACUAUAUAUGUGUUGAGAGUGAAUUUCCCGUCAGGAAACUGGAUCUCUACCAGCUGAAAUUAUAACACAUUAUUUGUCUAUUAUUGAGGUACCAUAAAAUGCAAAGUGUUUGUAACUCAGUUGAUUAAAAAUACUCACCCUUGCACCCGAGGUUUUGAGUUUAAUUUCCUCUUUUCACUAUUGCUUGUAUAUUCAUAUACAUUAAAACACCACGUCAUUCACCAAUAUUAUAACACGUUCACCAUGAACGCAAAAUUCUCAAGUGGUCCCAUGUCACCUAAAAUCUUCAAAACUACAAUUGGGUUUGGAAUAUAUUCUAAUUGGAUAAAGAACAAGGACAUGGAUAUUUUAGUGUACAAGUGGCCCUUAUCCUGUCUAUUAUUCACUACUAAAGUUGGCUACAUGUAUGAUUAAGUGCUUUAAUUUCGCCCAAGAACAUCUCAAAUUUACAAUAUAGUGUGGACCUAAAGUUUUGCAAAACUAGUCAAAGCACUUUCAUGGUUUUUUUGUUUUGUUUUUUAAUAAACGAUAUUAUCUACACAUAAAAAAUGUGGAAAAAUGGGUUAAGCUUCACAAUGACCUAGCAAUAAUGUGGUUCAAAUUCGCCUUUGGCGAGAAUUGAACCUAAAACCUCUCACUUAUAAAUAAAUAGAAAUAUCACUUGACACACCCCGACCGGAGUCGAGGCAUGCUGGCCGACACUCGAAUGUGACGUAGCCAAAAAGGAAGGUGAAGCAUGAAAAUAUGGGUAAAUCUAAACCAAAACUAACAUUUAUUUAAUCUAAAGUAGUUAGUGUGCAAUAGUGGAAAGAACCCAUAAACACAAGUGUUCAGAGCAUAGAUGACAUAAAAGUGUGCAGUCGAAACUAAUUAAAGUGCUUAAUACACAACCAGGAAAAAGCCCCUACACUUAUUUAUGGAUAUGUCAGAACUGUCGGAUAUUCCUCGAACGCCACAGAGUAAUAAGCUAACUAGGACCUGGAAGGGUGAAAAACAGAAGGGCGAGUGGGCAAAAACAAAGGUUUAUAAAACACAUUUAUUUUCUGAACAUACUAACCCCUUGCCGUAAAACAUGUACAGUUUCCAGAAAAUCAUACUACGUAUAAGUAUGAAAUCAAAUGCAAAUCAACAGUAAAUCUAGAAAUACGCCAAAUCACAAUAUAUCAAUAGUAGCAUAAUAAAAUCAGGUGUUAAUCAAUCUAUGCUAACAGAGAAUCUGACAUGAACAAGACUGGGUGUAAUCAUAAUAUAUGUUAUAGUACUACAAUCACGUGAAGAUUGGAGCUAGGCGCAUCACAUACGAGUCGAAGUUGCCAAAUGCAACAUGUACGACAUGACUGGCACCUACAAUGGAUCCAAGGUAAGCGUGUGGUGCGAUGCGAACAUACACGUGAAACCUCGCCCUGGCCGAGGCGAGUACUACACCGGUGCAAGCAUGCAUGAUAAGCAAGUAUAAAGUAUAUAGACAUGCCAUGACAAUAUAUAAAUCUCAACAAUAAUAUGGCAAUUUUAAAAUUCAAUAAAAUAUGGCAUGAUAGGCGUAAAAUCAAUCUAAAAGAACAUGUGGAAACUAUAAACUUUAUGUAUAAUAUAUAAAAACAAAUGCUCACUCACUGAUACGUCAAUGGAUCGUAGCCUCCUAGCCUUGUUUGUCUUUGUACCUCCUCGAGGUAAGUCUCACUUAUAUGUGAAAUAACUUUACUAAUCAUUUAAUUAGGACAUACACAUAAAGGCUAGGAAAAUCCCCCAUAGUUUGCUCAAAUGAAAGGUUUAAAUAUAUUAAAACAUUCUAGUCGAUGUCACAAACCCGUACACGUCAAGCACGCACUCUCACGCACCGCUAGGUCGUGGCCACAUGCGCGCCCAUGCACAGGCCACACGCCUAACAUACUGACAGAUGACAAAGGAAUAUUCCAUAAGAUUUGACGGAAUAUUCCGUUAGAUUUAAUGGAAUAUUCCGUUAAAUAUUAACGAUGUCAAAAUGUUCCGUUAACUUUAAUAGAAUAUUCUCCUUCUUCUCCGGUUGCUGUCCUCCAUUUGCCUCCGCCGUCUAGUUUGCCGGUUUCUGGAAAAAUUCGCCGAAUUUCUGGAUUUUUUUUUUUUAAACUUCAUAUCUUUUUCAUUUCUCAACCAUUUUUAAUGUACUAUAUAUGGAAAUGAAGCUUAUAAAGAGUAGAACAAGUUUAUACCUUUUGGAAGUCCAAAAAGUGGACGAAAAUGGGUUGAAAUUAGCUCAAAGCUCUCAGACCUAUUUUAGUUGUCUUAAAACCGUGUGUUUUCAAGAUGGCUCCUCUCCCAACUUAGGUUAGUGGUCACAUGGAGUUGUGUAGUGGCCUCCAAAUCUCCCAAAACCUUGUAACACGAGCUGGAAAUCGACGGGGAAUCUUCACCCAAGUUGGAGCUCUGAGUUGCUUCGAGUUGGAAGCUCAAAACUCGUCCAUUUUAAGAUCGGUUUGUACGAAUGGACUCGUGGGGAUGAGAGGAGUUCAAUGGUGGUGGUUUGAGACUUGAUCUAUAAGGGUUGAUGAUGGUCCUUAUAGUUGCAGACAAGAGAGAGUUACGGGUGAAGGAGAGAGAGAAUGAGAAGAUGAGAGAGAGAGAGAGAAUGAGAGAGAAUGAGUCUGAUUAGAUAGAAAAAAGAGAGAGGGAUCUGUUUGAUUGGGUGAAGGAAGUGAGGAGAGUGACUGAUUGGUUGAUGAGGGAGAAAGGGCACGGGACAUAUUUUUAAAGUGAAAAAUGAUAAGGUUUUGUUUGUACAAUUUGAAAUCAGACAAAAUCUAACACGCCAUAUCAAAAACAGUAGUUUCCUACACUAAAUAAUUAGCACAUGUGUACAAAUCUACCUGUUGUUAAUGCACUUUAACUAAACGUAACUUUUUUGUUACAACUCCGAUUCAGGUCUAACUUGCGCUCACGCACUCGUAACAAAGAGUACUAAUUAAUUACGAUAUCGAGAAAAUUAAUUUAAAAGUCGAAUAACUACGUUCACGUAAGGUUCCACUUUUGCCAAAAAAGGCAUAAACGCCAUUUUACACACUCGGGGAGAAAAUUACAUGAAAAAUUAGGGACGAGUCGUCAUAUCACUAAACUGUAAUACUAAGUUACAACACUUUCUUGAAUUUCUUUCUACCCUUUCACAUUUGUAACUUAGACCUACUCCAACCAUUUGCCGUAAAACUCAAAUUUUAGGUUUUAAACUUACCCCAACUUGCUCCAACCCUUGGGCUAAAUAUGAGUUAAAACUCAAAACUCAUUUCUCAGGCAAAUUUAGCCCAGGAUUUCCCCUGGGUUAGUGUCACAGCCCGUCCCGGAAUUUUUAAUUCCGAGGACGUGAAAUUACAAAAACGCCCUUAAACGGGAUUAAGGUACGUAAUUUUGGUGUUUGUUUUACCUAAAAUUUCUAAGCUAUUGUUGUGUUGGACUUUAGGUAGGGUCCUAUACCCUAAUUUCCUCCCCAUUUUCCGUAACCUUUCCUUCUCUCUCUUCUUCUUCCAUUUCAGAUUUUCACUCUCUCUCUCUUACUCUCUAACAUACGGACUCACACACAAACCACAAUCAAAUCUCCACGAACGUCCAAGUUAAGACCACCAUUGCAACCCUGAGGACUUCACGAUCACGUAGGUACCAUUUUCAGGUAAGUUUCAUUUCGAAAAACCCUAGUUUCUAAAGUUGCCGUGAAUGUGUACUGUUCAUGAGCUUUGAAUUGGUUGUGUUUUAGGCCAAACCAAGCUCAUAGUGAGCUUUAGGAUGUCCCAAGGAAGCUCGGAGUGCUUCGUUGGAAGUUUUCGGACGUAAGAACACGGAGAUCGACAAGUUCAAAGUUUGGCCGGAGCUUUCGAGGCGUUUUCCGGAGAAUACCCGGCGAGUUAGGAGUAUCAAUCUCUUCUUCUCGUCAAGUACUACAACUUUCCUUUUUGUUUCACUCAAUUUCAUUGAGUAUUGAAGAAGUUAUACUCAUUUGAAAAAUACCCAGUUUCCGGCGACCUCCGAGGCUUUCGAGGCAGUUUCCUGCCAAACCACGGCGAACUAAGUGUUGUGCAAGGUACCAUUCUCUUUGUCUCUUCAAGGGCUACAACUUUCGUUUUUGAAUCACUUGAUUUCGUUGAGAAAUGACAAAGUUAUGGCAAUUUGAAAAACUGCCCAGAAAACGGCCGCCGGAAAAACCAGUCCGGCGACCCAAGGAAGAAGAAGGUGCUACAGUAAAAAUAAAAAAUAAAAAUAAAAUUAUUUUAAAAAUAUGUCGACGUCCGUGACGUCGAGUAGAUCACUGUGGUAUAUUCAUAUACUUAUAUUGAACACCGUAUGAGAAAGUUAUUGAAGAUUGUUGGUUAGGUGUUCAAAUAACGUUUUAUAGUUUUCACAUUUAGGUGAAAAUGUGAAUUGAUGAUCCGACCGUUGGAUCAUCACCAAACUUUGAUACGUUAUAAUACGUAAUAUUUGAGAAUUAUUGGAACUUACGGAUUGGGAAUCCGAGUUACGGAUCUUCCGGAAUUGGAAUUGUAAGUCCAUAAUAUAAAAUGUUAACCGUCACUUAGUUUUGGAAAUUGAUGGAAAUCCAACCGUUGGAUGGUAAUGAAAUUUUAGGAUGUUGUCCUAGAGGUAUAUUGUGGACCUCUGGAAGUUAUGGAUUUAAAAUCUGAGUGGCAGAUCUUCCGGAUCGAACUACGUAGUGACGUAUUUUAUAUAAGUUAAAUAUUCUAUCGAUAUGAAUUCUGAGGUUGGAUUUGAUUACUAUUCUAGGCGGCGAUCGUCGUGACGCCUUGAUGUGUGUGGUGCUAGGGAGUUGUUGGACGAACUCCAGGUGAGUGGGCAGUUUUGUUUUCCGUAUAUAUAUAUACUUGACGUUUCCCAGAAAUUGAAUUGAAAUGAAAAAUAUGUUUAAAAUGAAAUGCAUAUGAGUUAUGUGGAAAAACGGGAAGUGAAAUACCAUGCAUAGAAUUGAUAUGAAAAGUAUAUAGAAAUGUGAGUUGAAAUGCCAUGCAUGAAUUAAUAUAUGAUGCAUAUGUAUGAAUUGGUGCGGUGGACGCACAUGUAAGAAUUGAUUUAUGAUGCAUAUGUAUGAAAUGGUGCGGUGGACGCACAGGUGAGUAUCAGGUGAUUAUUUAAAUACUGUUAUGAUGAUGUUGAUAUAUAUUGAGCUCAAAUCCUGCACCAUGGUUUAGUGCUUAUAGUAUUCACCGCAUCGCACGCUCGCCUUGGAUCCAAGUAGAUGCUAGUCGUACAGUCCACGCGGAGUGGGUACGACAGACCAGUCGCGAGAGUGUUAGUGAGAUUCCGACUGGUGGGUGACCUUAGAUUAUGUGCACAGAUGAUUUAUGAGAAGCACUAGAGCGUAACUUGUGUGCAGAAGGCCGGACGGGUCACAGAGGUGACUCCGGUAGAGUGAUAAUGAUAGAUUUUGAGCUCUAGGUUCAACCGUACAGGGCUAUUAGAGGGCCUACGGUUGAUUACUUUCUUGCACCUGAUAUGAUUAUGUUGAUGCAUUCAUACCUUAUUACUGUUGAGAUGAUGUGGCAUGGCAUAAUUAAUAUGAGAAAUGUUGAGAUGACAUGGCAUGGCAUGAUUGAUAACGAGAGAUAAUGUUGAGAUAGUAAAAAUGAAGUUUUUGAGAAUAUAUAUGUAUAUUUAUAUUUUACAUUUCUGGGAAAGUAUACAGGUUUUACGGAGAGGGGUUACAACGUUUUGAGAAAUGUUUGGAUUUGGAAAAGAAUUGUUUUACUGACCCACUCAAUUUUGGUUUUGCGCCCCUCCAGGUUCAGGAAUCACAAAGGUGUGGUGACUACGAGGAAUUCGACGGUGUUCUGACAGAUUGGACAAAAUUAGGACUCACCUUCGGGUGUAUCAAUUUAAAUUGUAUCUUAAAGCUUCCGUACUGUGCAAAUGGUUACGUCACUCUCACGUGACGGCCAGCAUGCUCUCCUUCGGGACGGGGUGUGUCAGUUGGUAUCAGAGCAUGGUUGCAAUCUUGGACAUCUUGAGAAGUUUCUAGUGAAUUCUGUCAGAACUACACCGCCUCGUAGCAAACCACGUAGUUAGAGGAACUUAGUCUCCCUGAUUUAGCGGGUUAGGGGAAACUAUUCUUAUGGUGAUUCAGUAUAUUAGAAAAAUGGACAUUUUAAGACGGGUUAUGAGUUGAAUUUGAAUCACUUAAGAGAAAUGAUGAACCUGAGGGAACAAAGUGACGGAUUAACCAAUUGGAAAAGAUGUUUCGGAAUAUGCAAGUCAAAGGAAUCUUCCUUCUGACAAGGGGUCGAGACGACUACCUGGUUUUGGUUAUGAAUUUGUAUCCUGGUGGAAACAGGAGUAUGAAUUGUUGUCACCAGAGGAAUCAGUCGAUUGAGAAUUGUUUUAAGGACUUGUUUUAAGGAAAAGUUUAUCCCUCCGGCAUUUAUCGAUGGUAGUAAACAAGAGUUUACAAAUAUGAGACAAGGAAGGUGAUGAUCGAGGGAUAUUAUAGAAAGUUUUCAGACUAGCCUCGUUCCAUCCAGAUAUUGUUGUUAAUUUGGUGGAGGUGUUAUGUUGUUUUAAGCUGGGUGACAAAAGGGAAGUGGUAUUUUGGGUGACCACUAUCCAUUGUAGUUCUUAUCAGGAGUAUGCUAGAUGUUGUUGAAUCUUGAGGACUCUGAGAACAUGAGCAACGAGAAUAAAGAAUAAUAAGAAAUGAAUGGGAAUUAAAAGAAGACGAUAAAGUUAAUGAUUCGUCAUAUCAAGGAUAUAGAAAGAUUCAGAGCUUCGAAAGAAGUGAAGCUAGAGUUAAUUCUUCCAGCUGAGGUUUUAAUGUCGCUGGUCAGAAUAAAAGUGAUGGAUAUACUGGUAAUCCCAGAUAUUUGAGACAAGGUGUCUCGAGUAAAGGAAAUGUACCUUGUGCAGCAGGUACAAAAUUAACACUUUGGGAAAUGUGAAAUUAAUGAAUGUGUUUAUGUGAACAGAGGGGACACAGAAUUGUGAAUCGUCCCUAGAAUCAGUUGUACUCAACAAUUUUCCAUGAUAUCAUAGUGUCGAUUCAGCAGAGUUAUGGACUUAGUAGUUUGGUCGGAUUGACCGUGAGUACAGAGAGAUUUGAUGAGUUAUAUGUUCAGCUGUACAGACCAUGAGAAGUGGAGUCGUACAGACUAUGAGAAAUUGGUGAGUUAUAGGCUCGGCCGUACCGACCACGCGGAGUGGAUCCGGCCGACGUAUUAUUGAGAUAAGAGUUGAAUCAGCCGUAUUGGUCAUUCUAGUUGACUUCGGCUGAUAUAUUUCUUAUUAUGUAUGUUAUUACCUUGAGAGUAGUAAAUAAAUGUAGUUGAGAUGAGUGUAUGUAUUUUGCAUUGAGUGACAAAAUAGUAAUGUUAUAUCUUUGUGAGUGGUUGCCUACUUAUCGAGACAACGAUGAUUUAUCAGUAUUGCGGGCUGCAGACCGUAAUAUUAAUAACUCAUUCGUGGAUUCGUUAAGCAAGCAACCCGGUAGAUUAUUUUAUGUUAGUAUUGUACUUAUUUGGAAUGCUUAAUAAUAAUAGAAUAUAUAUUGUAUCAGUUAAUUCUGUUCCAUUAGAUUGGUUGGUUAUAAUUGUGACAAGACGAAAUGUUAUGGGAAACCAGUACUUUCCAUCGAUCUGGAUGAACAGAGAUUACUUUUGUAAGUAUGCAAAAUGGAUUGAGUCAGGCUGUUAUUUAUGCUGUGAGAGCAAAGAGAUUGUUUUCGAAAGGCUGUCAAAAAUACUUAGCUCAUGUGGUGCUAAAUGAUGUUGUUUGGAGUAGUGUGAAUAAUGUCGAAAGAGUUAGACUUUUCUUGAUGUCUUCCUUGAAAGUAUACCUGGAUUGCCUUCAGGCAGAGAUAUGAGGUUCACUAUUGAAUUGUUGCCAGGUAUAAAUUUAUAUUGGAGAUUGGUUCAUGAUGAGUUAAGGGAAUUGGAAAUUCAGUUGAGGGAAUUGGUUGAUAAAAGUUUUAUUCAACCUAGUACAACACUUUUGAGGAGCCCCAGUUUGUUGGUGAGGAAGAAAAUGGAUCUUGAGACUGUUCAUUGAUUAUAGACAAUGGAGUCGGGUAACGAUUGAGAACUGUUAUCCAUGGUGAUGUACUGAUGUUUAUUUAACCAGCUCAGAAGUAAUUGCGAAGAUUCAAAGAUUGAAUUGAGAUCUGGUUACUACCAAUUGAAUAUUAUAAGUGACGUUGAUCAUAAGAUGGUUUUCUGGACUUGUUAUAGUUUUUAUGAAGUUUGGUGAUGCUAUAUGGAUACUCAUGCUGUUUUAUGAGUUAUUGGAUGAAGUAUUCCAAUAAUGCCUUGAUAAAUUGAUAUCAUUUCCAUUGAAGAUAUUCUGGCAUAUUCUGAGCCAGAGCAGAGUAUGUAAACGUAUUAAGUCAAUGAAGCAAAGAUUGAGAACGUUAGUUGUAUGCUAAGUUUAGCAAAUACUAAUGUUGGAUGAAUCAAGCAGCAUUUCUGGGAUAUGUUAUAUAUUUUUAAGGUAUUCAAGUGAAUCCUUAAAAGGUAACAGAAAUUAAAAUUUGGAACAACCACGAGUCGUAAUUGAGAUUUGGAAUUUCUUAGCUUACCAGGCUAUUUUGGAUGGUUGUGAAAGAAUUUUUAGUCAUUGCUUUGUCAUUAACGAGACUGUUGAGAAAGGAGGUUAUGUAUGAGUGGGAAGGAAAUUGUGAGCAAAGGAUUCAACAACUGAAGUAUUUCCUCACUCAUGCACGUAUUUUAGUAAUCCCAGAGAAUAGUGGUAAUCAUAAAUUUUUAGUGAUGUUUCUUGAAUGGUAUUGGAGGCAUGUUGAUGCAAAUGUUACGGUGAUUGCAUACGUUUCACGAUAAAUGGAAUCUCAUAAGAUGAAUUACCCUACUGGUGAUUUGGAAGUCACGAUUACCAUUCUUGCUGUGAAGUUAUGGAGACAUUAUAUUUUAGUGGGAAUGCAAGAUUUUUUUUAACGAAUCCAAAAAGUCUUCAAUAUCCAUUACUUGGAAGGAUUUUGAUAUGAGGCAGCGAAAGUGAAUUGUAUUGCUUAAUGAACACGAUUGUACGAUCAUGGUGAUCGUAAAGCUUGUUCUAGCUGAAGCACUUGGUGAGAAGACUACAAUAAGAUUAAUAUCUGGCACGUUUGCCAAGAGUAUCAUUUUGUGGAUUGAAAACCAACGGAAGAAAAAUUAAGAAUGGAAGAACGAGAAGAAGUUAUACUUGUUAAGUAACAAGUUAGUGCAUUUACUCCAGUGUUGAGUAACAACCUUUCCCAGACAGUGCAACACUACUUAUUUGUUUUAUGGAAAAGAGAAUUGGAUUACGGAACUGCUAAGUUCCUUAAGUAUGUUGGUUGUGCAGUUUCCGAAGUAACGCCAUAAGGACCAUGAAAUGUGUCACGUGAGUCGGUUUUUGAUGACUUGUGAAUGGAAUGUUUCUGGGUAGAGAAAGAUUCGAUCGAGAAAGAGUUUUAGUAGACCCUGAGACUAUGGAUGAGUCUCCUCAAAGUAUUCAGGUGAUUAAGUUAACCUGAAGUAACCAGGAAUGGCAAAAGAGAUCAACAGAUGGAUAUGCCACUAAUCGAGUGUGUAAGGUAAAUGGUUUGAUAUUUUUGGAAAAUUCACCACGAACAGAAAUGAAGAGAAUUGGAAAAGAGACAAGAUAAGAUUUAGACACAUCAGACCAUUUUUUUUAUCACUAAAGGAAUCAAUAAAGUUGCAUACAAGUUUGUGAUGCCUUCAGAAUUGGCUAAGGCACAUAAUGUAUUUUGUGUUCGAUGCGUUGUCACUAAGUGGCAGAGUCGUUACAUGGGACUUUGGUGCAACUAUUGAGAAUUAAGCCGGAUCUGAUUGGUGAGGAACUAAUGUCGACUUUGGAUUGGAAAAAGAAGGUCCUAAGAAUUAAGACAGAGUAAGUAGUAAAAGAUUUGUGAAGGAAAUCAUUCAGUAGAAAAGUAUGUGGGAGAAAGAGAAUCGGAUGAGAAAGAUUUACCCGAAGCUAUUGUUGGAGUGUAGAUGAUUUAGUUGGUUGCUGGAAUUUCGGGGACGAAAUUCUAUAAGGAGGGGAGAUUGUCACAGCCCGUCCCGGAAUUUUUAAUUCCGAGGACGUGAAAUUACAAAAACGCCCUUAAACGGGAUUAAGGUACGUAAUUUUGGUGUUUGUUUUACCUAAAAUUUCUAAGCUAUUGUUGUGUUGGACUUUAGGUAGGGUCCUAUACCCUAAUUUCCUCCCCAUUUUCCGUAACCUUUCCUUCUCUCUCUUCUUCUUCCAUUUCAGAUUUUCACUCUCUCUCUCUUACUCUCUAACAUACGGACUCACACACAAACCACAAUCAAAUCUCCACGAACGUCCAAGUUAAGACCACCAUUGCAACCCUGAGGACUUCACGAUCACGUAGGUACCAUUUUCAGGUAAGUUUCAUUUCGAAAAACCCUAGUUUCUAAAGUUGCCGUGAAUGUGUACUGUUCAUGAGCUUUGAAUUGGUUGUGUUUUAGGCCAAACCAAGCUCAUAGUGAGCUUUAGGAUGUCCCAAGGAAGCUCGGAGUGCUUCGUUGGAAGUUUUCGGACGUAAGAACACGGAGAUCGACAAGUUCAAAGUUUGGCCGGAGCUUUCGAGGCGUUUUCCGGAGAAUCCCCGGCGAGUUAGGAGUCGAGAUAGGUAUCAAUCUCUUCUUCUCGUCAAGUACUACAACUUUCCUUUUGUUUCACUCAAUUUCAUUGAGUAUUGAAGAAGUUAUACUCAUUUGAAAAAUACCCAGUUUCCGGCGACCUCCGAGGCUUUCGAGGCAGUUUCCUGCCAAACCACGGCGAACUAAGUGUUGUGCAAGGUACCAUUCUCU
rnacentral:lncRNA from 1 species